GCUAUCAAUAAGCGGAGGAAAAGAAACUAACAAGGAUUCCCCUAGUAACUGCGAGUGAAGCGGGAAAAGCUCAAAUUUAAAAUCUGGCAGCCUUUUGGUUGUCCGAGUUGUAAUCUGGAGAAGUGUUUUCCGUGUCGGACCGUGUACAAGUCUCUUGGAACAGAGCGUCAUAGAGGGUGAGAAUCCCGUCCAUGACACGGACUCCCGAUGCUAUGUGAUACACUCUCAAAGAGUCGAGUUGUUUGGGAAUGCAGCUCAAAAUGGGUGGUAAAUUCCAUCUAAAGCUAAAUAUUGGCGAGAGACCGAUAGCGAACAAGUACCGUGAGGGAAAGAUGAAAAGCACUUUGGAAAGAGAGUUAAACAGUACGUGAAAUUGUUGAAAGGGAAACGCUUGAAGUCAGUCGCGUUGUCCGGGACUCAGCCUUGCUUUUGCUUGGUGUAUUUCCUGUUCAACGGGUCAACAUCAAUUUUGGCCGGCGGAUAAAGGCAUUGGGAAUGUGGCACCCUCGGGUGUGUUAUAGCCCUUUGUUGCAUACGUCGGCUGGGAUUGACGACCGCAGCAUGCCCUUUGGGCCGGGGGCUUGCCCCACGUAACAUGCUUAGGAUGUUGGCAUAAUGGCUUUAAGCGACCCGUCUUGAAACACGGACCAAGGAGUCUAACAUGCUCGCGAGUAUUAGGGUGGAAAACCCUUGUGCGUAAUGAAAGUGAAAGUUGGGACCUCUGUCAUGGAGGGCACCGACGCCCGGCCCGGAGCUUUUGUGAUGGUGCUGCGGUAGAGCGCGUAUGUUGGGACCCGAAAGAUGGUGAACUAUGCCUGAAUAGGGCGAAGCCAGAGGAAACUCUGGUGGAGGCUCGUAGCGAUUCUGACGUGCAAAUCGAUCGUCAAAUUUGGGUAUAGGGGCGAAAGACUAAUCGAACCAUCUAGUAGCUGGUUCCUGCG
rnacentral:rRNA from 1 species